CAGGGCUUGACAUGGGGAGGCUGUAUUCAGAGAUGGAUAUUUCCCGCAAGGGACCUCCUGCACAGGUGCUGCAUGGCUGUCGUCAGCUCGUGUCGUGAGAUGUUGGGUUAAGUCCCGCAACGAGCGCAACCCUCGUCUUCAGUUGCCAUCAGGUUGGGCUGGGCACUCUGAAGAAACUGCCGGUGACAAGCCGGAGGAAGGUGGGGAUGACGUCAAGUCCUCAUGGCCCUUAUGUCCUGGGCUACACACGUGCUACAAUGGCGGUGACAGUGGGAAGCUAGGUCGCGAGGCCGUGCUGAUCUCUAAAAGCCGUCUCAGUUCGGAUUGCACUCUGCAACUCGAGUGCAUGAAGGUGGAAUCGCUAGUAAUCGCGGAUCAGCAUGCCGCGGUGAAUACGUUCCC
rnacentral:rRNA from 1 species